CCGGCACACGACCGACCUUCAACGUUGAAAUAUGGUUGAAAUAAGGUCAGAUGUGUUUUGAACGUUGAAAUAAUGUUGAUAGAACGUUUAAUGUUGAACGGUUGAAAAACAGCCUGCAUAUGACAAGGCUUCAACGUUGAAAUGUGGUUGAAAAUACGUCAGUAGUUGCUUUAAUGUUGAAACAAUGUUGAAUGAUAAAUGGUUGAAAAAGGUUACAGAAAUCCUUGUACAAAUCAACGUUGACAUUUUUUUAUCAUGAUCUGUAUGUUGAAUUAACGUCAUGGCUUCACCCAAUAUUCAACAUGUUUGGUUACCAUGGUAUCGGAGGACUCGGCGCACGCGGCCGCGCGCAGCGCUUCACUUCACUUAAUUACGAACACCUGACCUGCAGUGCAGUAGAAUUCAGAGACAUGUAACUUAGUCCAGAGACGCACUAACUCGCACAGCAUUGAAUGGAAAAGGCUUUGUCCAUGUCCAGUUGAGGGGCAUCAAGAACAUGCAGAUGGCCUAAACCUGUGUCAGCCUGGACAGACUGCAGUUCUGCUAUUCCACGCCAAGGCUUUUGUAUGGAUGUCUGACUACUACUGUGUUCUCUAAAGGUUUUCUGGAAGCUCCAUUUGAGUUCAUCAAGGACAUACUGAUGGCCUAAACCAGUGUCAGCCUAGACAGACAGACAGACAUCUAAUGCAGUUCUGCUACACAAGACCAAACUCUCUGCUUUUGUAUGGAUGUCUGACUAGUACGGUGUUCUCUAAAGGUAUAACUGGAGCAAAACAACAGCAUCCGUUACAGUGAAAUUUGUGUUCAUAAAAGAUAUGUGUAACAGGUCCAGUACAUUUGUCAUAAAGGUUAAAUCACAGUAAGUACUGUAAAAAUAACUUGUUUGCCUUUGCCACAACAGGUCAUAUAUACGCUAACACAUUUGUAAUUACUGUUUUGUUUUGCCUCACUAAAGUGUUGUUGGAGCUUGGUAUGUUCACAGUUGAAAUCACUGAAGUCACAUGGAACGUUUUGACAAUGUGUUUUGUGCCUUAUCUUGACAAUGACCAUCUUGGGACUAUUGCUGUCUGUAGAGGAUGAGGAGCAUUUAAUCUAAAAUAUUUUAGUUUGUGUUCUGAAGAUUAACAGGUCUCUGGGAUGACACAAGUACUUAAUAACAGAACCUAUAUGAACACUUAAUGUGACAUGUAAUAGUGAAAUAGUGGUCCUACAUUCACAAAUGUGAGCCAUUUUUAUAAGACCCCUGUGAACAUGCAAUUUUUAUGAUACUAAUAAUAAUGGAAUAACAAAUUGCUAUUACUGUUGUGUUUGUGAGAGAGAAUCAAACCAUAUAUUCUACACAUUUUCUUGAUGAUUUACUGAAAUAUUUGUCUACAUGUUCCACUGUCACAGGUGCUCAGUUUUGCUGCAGUAAUGCUAAACACAAUAGAUGUACUUUAUGCAAAAAAAAAAACAAAAAAA
rnacentral:lncRNA from 1 species